rnacentral:rRNA from 1 species
AUUGAACGCUGGCGGCAGGCUUAACACAUGCAAGUCGAGCGGAGUGAUGGUGCUUGCACUAUCACUUAGCGGCGGACGGGUGAGUAAUGCUUAGGAAUCUGCCUAUUAGUGGGGGACGACAUCUCGAAAGGGAUGCUAAUACCGCAUACGUCCUACGGGAGAAAGCAGGGGAUCACUUGUGACCUUGCGCUAAUAGAUGAGCCUAAGUCGGAUUAGCUAGUUGGUGGGGUAAAGGCCUACCAAGGCGACGAUCUGUAGCGGGUCUGAGAGGAUGAUCCGCCACACUGGGACUGAGACACGGCCCAGACUCCUACGGGAGGCAGCAGUGGGGAAUAUUGGACAAUGGGGGGAACCCUGACCCAGCCAUGCCGCGUGUGUGAAGAAGGCCUUAUGGUUGUAAAGCACCUUAAGCGAGGAGGAGGCUCUUUUGGUUAAUACCCAUGAUGAGUGGACGUUACUCGCAGAAUAAGCACCGGCUAACUCUGUGCCAGCCGCCGCCGUAA